GCCCUUGUGGCAUAGCUGUAUGAGUUGCACUUUGACUCUAGAGACCAGGGUUCGAUUCCCCGCUAAGCCA